CUAUGUGAAGAGAAGAGAUGGUAGUAGAUAGAGAUGAUAAGGAAGAGAGGGGUAUUAUAAUGUAAUAAAGUCGGUUGUUGCUGUGUGUUUUAAGGACAGAGAAAGAGAGGGGACACUAAUAAAACACGCUCAAUACUUGUGUUUUGUUUUUUUAUCUCUGUUUCAGGGUUUUCUUAUUUAUUUAUGUCUGUAAAACUUAAGAGAGAGAGGGCGGUGGCACAGAGUAGAGAGGGGAAAGAAGCAGAAGAAGAAGCUUAAAGGCAGCUUCUUUCACUUUGGCAAGUACAGCCUCGCUUCUUCUGGUAUUCCAUCUUCAGGAAUACGUUUGAUUAACUCACAAAAAUUCGAAUAUCUUAAGGUUCCUUAACUACAUUACUUAGCUGUAUUCGUUUUUUUUUCCCUGAUUAAGUUUGCUUUUCGUAUAUCUAAUGUGUGGUUUUGAUGUAAACCGACUUUAUUAAGAGUCAAUAAUCUAGGUGUCAUGUUGUUAUCAUGCAGUUGUUUUAUCUAAGUACUAUUCUAAAAAUCAGCUAUUAAUUCACAUUUUCCCAAUAUGCUUCGUUUCUAUUAAUAUUAAUAUUUUUUCAUAAAUCAGGCAUACGUGUUACGAGUUUUAGACCUUAAAAUGUUUGUUAAUGGUCAUAGCAUUAUCGUUGGCUAGAAAUUUAAUGUGACUGCAAUAAUUUAGAUAUGACACUGAUAAACAUGAAAUUUUCAGGAUCGUAAUAAUGGUUUGUGAUCAAUGAUUUUAAUGAUCGUUGACGAGAGGGAUUAGGAUCCAAUCGCAAGCAAGAAUAGCGUGUUUGUCAACAAAAUGGACUUGUUUUACAACAUCACACACGCAAACAAUGCAACCAUUGAAUUCAAACAUUAUUUUAUGACUCCUAUAUUGGUAAGUUAUGCGAUCUAGAUCUUACGUUCUAUACUAAAAUACCUCAUACAGAAAUGUUUCUCAUAAACCUUUAGAUUGUCAAACAAAAAACUUUGUUGAGACAACCAUUUAAAAAUCACAUACUCAGUAUAAUUCAGUAGUACCAAAAGAUUGAAAACUUAAUUAUAAAAUGAGAGAAAACAAACAAUAAAUGUAUUCGACUCUAAUUUCAACUUACAACUCUAACACUGUGAAUUUAUUUUUGGUUUCUAAAAGAUUUAUAUUAGAAAAUUUUCAACUUAAAAAUAGAAAUAAGAUUAAGAAAUUAAGGGAAAAUAUAAGUUAUUGAACAGCUGUCUCAAAAUACUCUGGAAUUUCAUUCAUAAAUAUUUUGAUACUAUAAAAUACUUUUGAAAUAGAUUUAAAUAUUUAAGACAACCAUUCAAUACAGUAAUGUUGAAUCUUCGUAAAGAUAUUCAAGUUGAUAAUCCAUGGUACUCUUCCACAAAAAGAAAGUAGAAAAUGAAAACUAAACACUUGAUUUGAGUGACACCUUUGGUUGUUGUGGAUGCUCAUAAGUUUAUAGAAUUAUAGAAAUAUACAUACAAUAUAUUUGUUAUUCGAUCCAAAAAAAUAUAAUAAGAAGGAGAAGGGAGAAGGGACAAUAAUGUUGAUGAGUUUUAAUGGGUCAUGAAGACAGGUAUGUCGCUUCCACUCUUUUUUGUUGCUGUGGAUAGAGUUCUCUAGGGCCAGCUUUCAACCACCAAUUAGUUCGGAAUUAAUAAAAUUGAUCUAUUUUAUCGUCUAGUUGAAAUAUAUUGACUUUCUGAGUUAGAAAAAAAAUACUUCACUUAAUUGCUAAUGCAUGUUACGCAUGUGCACCACUUCAGUGAGAGUAUCAUAAUGUAUAGUAAGCGAAUUUUUUUCAAACAUAUCUCUAUAACAGACGUGUACAUAAACAUGAAGGGAAAACACUAUUACUAGUUUUGCGUCUGUUAUUCUAAAUCACAUCGUGCAGCUUUACAUUUCGCAUAACUCUGACUAUUUUUAAUUAAAUUUAUCGCUAUGCUAGCUUACUAAGCAUAGACAUUAGACAAUAGCUUUGGUAACACGUGUAGGUCCGUGAUAAGUAAUCUUAAAAGGGAAAAACUGAAAAGGAUUAAAAGUCACCAGAUUUAAGUAAAUGAAAGUUUAAAAUGAUUCAUGGUUCGACCUUAACUAACGUUUAGAUGUGACAAUACUCUGCUAUGGACCUAGCGGUUAGACACACUAAAGCUUAUAUAGAUCGAACCGUGCGCGUCGUUGCUCGGUCCAUGGCAACCUAGAAGUCAAUGAUUUUUCUCCGACCUAAGAAGUCAAACUAAAAGUCUAAAACACAGAAAAGCUGUAAGAAAAAUCGAAGAUGAGAUAGAAUUGUUUAAAGAGGGGGGGGUUUUGAGCAAUCAUUUUCAGUGGUACAUUAGACCCUUCUUUUUUUAGAUAAAACUAUUAUUAAAUUUCUUUGUUUUUUUUUUUGGCGACUUAUUAAAUUUCUUUGUUAUUUUAUCGUCUUCUAUAUACUACCAAAAAUAAAACCAACCUCGUGAAGAACAUUGCUGUCAGCUUAAUUUAUCUUUGUCAGUUUGCCUAUUUUUUUACACGCUUUUGAUCAAUAGUUUUUACUCUGGUGAUUAAAUUCGGUGCUCUCAAAAGAAAAAUUUAGAAUUCGUUAAGCAGAUUGUAGAGGUAAUUUAACUUUGCAUGUAAGACUCUCCGUUUAAAAAGAGAAACAAACUCCAGCAUGUAGUAUGCAUGAAAACUCCAGCAUGUAGUAUGCAUAAACAAAAAAAAUAUUAACAGGAAACGAAGACAAAAAUGAUACAGAAUAAUGCCAUCGUCAUGUUAUAAGAAAAGAUAUGAUCAUAGCACUGUUCGUACAAGAUUUCUACAGUUGAAUUUCUUUAUGUAAGGAGAAACUAGGCUUUACUUUACCUUUAUAUUUUGCAUAAAAUUAUCAUUAAAAUAUUUUUUUAUUUGCUUUUAGUGUCCCUUUUAGUAGUACCACUACUAUACACAUUUGACUAAUCAAUAAAAUCGGAAAUUGUUUGGACUCAUUAUAAGAUGUGGGGUAUUUUUGAAGCACAUGCCAUUAUGCCAAUGAGUAUCCAAAUCAAACUGUUGUUGUUUUUUGGCUUUUUGGACGCUGGACCUAAUCCAAGUUCUCAUCUCUACUAAAUUCAAAUCCAUUGUAGUAAAUAUUUAUUCUCUUGAUUUACUUUUGAAUAAAUUGCUAUAACUUGAAACUAUAUGUGUCAUCAUGGCCUGUGUAUAUAUCCAUUGGUCAUAAGUUUAGCUUCUACCAAAAGUGAGAGUAUCCCACCCAGUGUGUGUGUGACAAAAGCCAAACAAAAACACACUCACAGCUUAUCUUGAUUGGUAACUAACAUAGAUACAUCAACGAAAACAUAUUCGUUCCGUUUAAAAAGAUCUUUAUUCAAACCUUUCACGAAUCACGACUUUAUAGGAAAAACAUUAACAGUUGAAAACAACGUUAAACAAAAUUCCCAAGCAUGUCACGUUAGGAGGCAAAAUUCAACUGAACAUGUGUGCAGAGUAACUGGCCUAAGAAAUGACCAUUUAAAUUACUGAAGAGUUUUCUUACUGCAAACUCCAAAGUACCUGAAUUUGAAAGGAAAAGAAAAAAAAUGUUUUCAGAAUAACUUUGCACUAUUUGGCAGCAAUUUGAUUUCAUUGCCAUCAGCUUUUAUCUUAUCUUGUACGAGCCAUGCUUACAUAUCAACUGUCUGCAGGUUUUAAAUCUUCUGACUACUAAUCGAAGUAGAAUAUCAAUUUUAUUUUUGUAUAGUUUUGGUUUUUUAAUGUUCUGCCGUUCUACAAUAUUACCAGCUAGAGCUGUAACUCUGAUGACAACUGACAUCCAAAACAAUUACGUAACUUUACGUAUUUUUUUUUAAUGAAUGUUAAAUUUAUUCACCAAAAACCUUUUUGUGACUUUGAGUUUGAAAAAUUAAGAAAAAUGAAAACAAAUUCUAUCACUCUAAGAAAUUCAUCUUGUACCAAACCAAAUGGUAUUCUAAGAUAUAGUUUUGAAUAUGCUCGUGUUUGAAUUGGAGUAGCUCAUAUUAGCCGACCCUAACCAGACACAAAACAAUCUAAUAAAAAUUGAUAUGAACAUUAUAUGAAAACAUUCCCACGAAAAUAGGGAAUUGUAUACUGACCAACAAAAAGACCAAACAUAAGAACUAAAAGUAUCACGUGUUAGGUUUGAUUUUGAAGGUCAAGUGACGAAUGCGAAGAUACGUGUGUGAGAAUGCAGACGAAGUUUGUUAGUAGUCGAAGUCUCGGAACAAGUUAUAAAAAGCAAGUUUGUCAACACCUUUGACUUCAUUUUUUCAAAACUCUCUCUCAGAAGUAAGUUGCAAAAUGAAACUACGUGAAACACAUGUAACCUCUUAAAACAUUUUCGUCUCACGUUUGGAAAUUAUAUGUUCUUGCAGAUAAAAUAAAGAUCAUAAUAAAUGUGUAAAAGUUUUUGUAAAUUGAUUACUCCACAGUACAAUAGUCAAUAGAUUAAUGGAGAUCAACAUCACCUAAGAAUUACCGGUCAUGUGUGUAUUGAAAAGGACUAAAGAUAUUAUAUUUUGAUGAAACCAUCUAUAAAUUGACAUCAUCAGUUUGUAACAGAUCAACAAUUAACAUCUAUGGUACACGAAAAGAAAGAGUGAGAGAGAUAGUCAAUAGACGAAGAUGUAUUGUAAGGAUGUCCACAGCUGGAGUCUUUGGACUUCAUAUCCAGAAUUGGGUCACAAACUUAUGUACAUGAAUCAUGACAUCUAUCAAUGUGUCUAUAUAUUAUUUAAAGAAAGCUUUGUAGUGUUUGGUUAGGUACAAUUGCAAUCAACUUUAUAUGCAUGUACAUAUAUGUGCAAUAGACAUAUAUACCCUUGUUUGCAAGGACACCUACCCUUACAUACACAUAAAUGACAAAUCACUAAAAUAUAUACAGCAUAUGAUCCAUUAUUGUUGAUGAUAAGAUUGUGAUGUUAGUGGUUCUUGUUGGUUUUAUUUCUUUUCUUUUUUCAUCUUGCGUUUGUCUUGAUAGUUUCUAUUUCACGUAGUAAAUUCACAUGAGCGUAACUGCAAUAUAAAAUAACAAUUUUAUAAAAAGAAAAGGUAUUGUGCAAAUUAUAUAUAUUAUCAACCUAAAAGAGUUAAAACCAUAAAAAUGGUUGGCAACGAGCAAUAGCAUGAAAGUUAGGUGAUACCAAAAGUUAGUACGUAUGUCACUUCAAUUAAAAUGUCAUAAAAUUUAUUCUUCUUAAUCAAGUUCACAGAGUUUUAAAUAAUUCUGUGGACGUUAGAACAAACUGGUUAAACACACGAAUCAAAGCCCCGUGUUUCAUCGAGCUUUGAGUAAAAAUCUCGAUUUUUUAUGGGUCAAUUCCAUAAGAAAAAGAGAGAAUUGGGGCAUGCUCGGUAGUAGUGAAAAGAGAGCAAAUCCCAAGGAUCAAGAAAAGAAAAAGAAAAGUUAAGAGGAAAAUGCUUUAUUGGGUUUGCUUAAGAAGACAUGAAGCAGAUUGAAAACAUCUGCUUUCGUCCCAAAAAGAGGAAAGCCAAAUUCCAAAAACUGCAUCUACAUUGUUUACAUACCACACACAUUCAUGUAUCCACUGUUAUGUAGAAAUUAUAACUUGUAAAUAGUUUCAUGUUUUUAAUAUAACUUUCG